rnacentral:lncRNA from 1 species
UUCUCCCGUCUCAGCCAUGCUUAAUUAACUGACAUGGGGCAUCCGACAGUCCAUUAGGGAACUUGCAUUCCUCAGAUAUGGGUUUAUUAACAAUCCCGAAAGGAAAAAGAAGUUACUAGACUUUUUUUUUUUUUCUUUCUUUUUUAGGGCUGCACCUGUGGCACAGGGAAGUUCCCAGGCUAGGGGUCGAGUCGAAGCUGCAGCUCCCGGCCUACAUCACAGCCACAGCAACGCUGGAGCCAAGUGGUGUCUGCAAUCUAUACCACAGCUGGUGGUAACACUGGAUCCCUAACCCGCUGAGCAAGGCCAGGGAUCGAACCUGAAUCUUCAUGGAUACUAGUUGGGUUCUUAACCCACUGAGCCAUAGCGGAACUCCGGAAGGUACUAGAAUCUUUACCUGCUCCAAACGAAGGCAUGCAUGCCUCUGAGUUGCAUCACAGAUCAAACACGCCUGCAGCUGAGGAACUUUGUCCCACACUGUGGUUCAACCAAACCGACUCUCUCCUAGGUAUUUGCAUUGGACUGCUUGGUGCUAUCAUGUUGCUAUUAUUCUACUUUGUGCUGUUAUGUUGCAGCGCAUAAUACAACUUUGACCUAUGGUUCCUGGAAAUCUGUGUUCCACAGAGAUGAGCCAUAUUAUAAUAAGAUGCUAAUACCUUUCCCAUGUAACUGCACAGUUUGUUUUCCAGUCACUCCUUCACAGACGGAAUGCUUCCUAAAUAUUUUGCUGCUGUGGGGGUAGAAUAUUUUCUAUGCAUGUUAUACAGGUUGGGUUAUUUUUUUCUUUCUUGAACAUCUCGAAAGUCAAGAUGGGAGCAUAGGCAUGAUUUUUUUUUUUUUUUCCUUUAAGGAAUUAAAGCCAUUUCCAGACACGUCUUCUCUGGGCUCACUCUGGAGCAGUCAAAGCUUUAGCUGACGUCUCUGUGUCCCGACUUCAUUGAUAUCUGUGUGUGCAGGUUUGUAGGCUGCGUCUGCGUAGCCACAGUCUUAUCAGCCAUCCAUCUCCCGAGCCCCCAGAGACUCAGGAAGGGCAGAGAGCUGUGUCUGAUGUUUUAGACGCACUUCCUCACACUGUCCUUAGGAGCCAAAGCCUGCUUUUUCAGGUGAUGGCCCUCCAGACAAAUGAGCGAAUACUACAUCAGACCUGCCGUGUCCUUGGACCAGGGCAGGUGCCGUGUCCUUGGACCAGGGCAGGUCCUGAAAACAGCACGAAGAGGCGAUCUGUUUAGGGUAAGGGGGCAGUAAAUAGGACGCCCAGAGAGAACCACGUCACUUCCCGCCCCUUUUCCUGGGUACUUCAAGGACAAUGAGUUCCUAGGAUUUUCAUAUUUUAAUUCCAUGUGUGAAAUCUGACCUUCAACUCAUGUAGUUCCUUGCUCUAAAAAGCAAAUCAAUGGAGGAAUUUGAGAAACUUAGGAAGGAGAAUUAAAUCACAGCUGAACAUCCUAAGAAAAACACACCUGUAUCAAAUGGGCAUACUUUUUAUUGUGACCAUAUAGUAUCCUUGGGAACUGCAUACUGGUUAAAACUAUGAAAUGUGCCACCGAAUGGGUUUCAAGAUUUAAGAUGAGGUCAGAGAUUUCCAUUAGAUUUUAAAACAGCUCACACAAUCGUAUCAAAGAAUGACUUUUUCUCAUAUCCCAUUACUCUCUGAAUUUUAAGACGGCUACAUCGCUUAAACUAUUUAUCUAGAUAAUGCUAUUACAUAUAUGAAUAAAUAUCCACCAAGCCGAGACACAAGUCUAAAAAAUAUAACCAGCUAUUGACUCUCUUUUUUUUUAGGGCUUGUCUUAGUAAAUCAAAUAUUGAUCUCUCCCGUUUGGGACUCUGCUGUAUUCCACUCUCUCCUCCUCAGUGACAAGGAUGCAUUGGUCUUGGCUUAUUCUUAGCAAAGAGUAAUUCACAUAACAAAACAUACGCUGCUCAUCUCCGCCAAUUUGGUUUUUUCUUUAUCAGCACAGGGUCACAGAAGGCUUCCAUGAAGACCCAAAGAAACCAUGUCGUAAAAGGAGACCUUGAAACCAUCCGUCUCAAGCACGUCCUCUCCCCUCCUUAUUUUAAUAAGCAUUAGAGCCCCCGCCUCCUCUCCAGGAAUGUCCUUUGACCCAGAAUUAGGGCGCUGUUCAUGGACUCUGAGAAAAUUUUCUGUCCCACCUCUUUCUUCUCUCUGGCUUUUUGCUUUGGUUUGCGUUUGGGGUCAGUAGAAGUCAUUAGAAAGGGAGGCAUGUGGCUGGAGGGGUGGGGAGGCGGGCAGCCAACCUCUCAUUAUUGCUCAUUCGCAAAAGCAGCGCAGCCUCGCGCCUCGCCAUGACCCAGAGGGAAACGCAAGAGUCAUAUCCCAUCGCAGCCGUAAGAAAAGCAGUGGCUUAUGUCUAGGACUCGAGUGUAGUUUUAAUCAACAGCUACAAACACGUGCAUGCGUUUAACUAAAGUUUGAUUUGGAAAGAAAACAUACAGAAGUCACGAGACGGCAAAAAUCUUGUAAGAGACAAGAGUGUUUUUACUGGGAACCAAGGCAAAACUGAAAAGCCAUAGUUAGCAAAACCUUAAGACAGCAGCCAGCAGAGGCAAGAUGCGUGGUUCUUUCCACUCAAAGCAGGAGCAUCAACACCCACCCAUCAGUGGGAAGAAGGUGAACCUCCCGGCGGUCACGUAGGUUGGAAACAGAAACUCAAAUUCUCUUACAUUCUAGGAUUAGCACAUACUGUCUGUAUGUGAGAAUUUGUAGGGGUUGCCAACAGAAGUACGCGAAAGACGCCAGCAACCUUUCUAUAAUUUCAAAUACUACAGUUUCAGUGGAAACUGUAUGCCAGCGUCCCCGCCACGUUCCCGUGAAAAAUCGUUCAGUGCAUUUACCAAGGAAGCCCAAAUUAGGAAAAUGUUUGUGACUUACUAUUUGAAAUGCUCAAUUACGCUUAAAGAGGUCAGUUUACUAAAGAUGCAGGGAUGGCGUUUUAAGUCACAAUUUUACUACGCUACUGUAAGAUGAUGCUCAUUAGUCUUAAAUCCUAUCUCCCCUUUAUAUCUGCUGCAUGCAGGGCAGGCCCAGUAGGUUAUGGCAGAUAGGAUCGGUCCUACCUAACCAGCUAUAGACAUAUCAAAAAUAUCACAAACCUUCUCAGCUGU